GGAAACGGUAGAUUGGCGUCAUGCUACAUGCUAAACACAACUAGCUUGAGCGUGCAGCGAGUAGCCUGUUCAGUGAUUCUGAACACCUGUCCAAUGUUAUUCUCUUAUCAUUAUGAGCCGAACACCGGACGACAGGGCGCGAGAUGUUGAACUCUUACAAUCCAGGAGAGCAUCACCAGUGUGGAAAAAUACUUUGGAGAAAUGUGUCAACUGUUUGCUGGCUAUGGACGUAAAGAAGCAAGAUUCUGAGAUACAGGACAUCUUUUUAUGAGCUUUAUUGGUCAGUACGCAGACACUGAAACGCCAGAUCUUAAAGGGGCAUCAAGCAGUUUACAGAUAACUUGGCUAAGACGUAAGACUAUCCCCAUGGUGAGGUGGAAAGUGGUGCAUUGCAAAGACAGAGGCUGCAGAGGGUUACAAUGGAUGUCACCAGGAUCACUCGGAGCCUGAAAGAAACCAUAGAUGACAGUAAAAACAGAAAAUCAGAGAUAUUAAGAAGAUCUUUGGGGAGUUUGUGGUUAUCGAGAUGCUGUCUCAUGCUAAAGCCUUCGAGCUGUACACUUUGGCCUACCAGAGUAUUCAGAGCAUGGAUGAGGAGGCGGACCUGGAGUCUAUGUGUUGACUGGGCCAGAUGUGUAGAUGUGCUGACUGGUCCAGAGAGUGAGUGUCACUUUCAAAAUGCAGUAUAUCCAGCCUCCAUGGACGACCUGAUAAACACGAAUCAUUGCUCAUACGCACAUUGUCCACACCCUCAAACUGAUGUGGCAACAACUCACCACAAGUUAUGCAGGCUACUUUUUGGUUGUACAAAGAGAGGUUUAAAGGACUGUUUACAUUUAAAUGAAUCAAUAACAAACACUGUUGUGCUCUUUUUAAAUGUAUCACUCAUCACCGUCUCAUCUGUAUUUUUACUUUGAAUGACGCAUGCUUCAUUCAUGCUUUAGUGAAACUCCUCUCCCACAUAAGGCAGGUUUCAGUGACUCAUGGUUCAAAGCAGAUUCAUCAGAAAACUAAACAAUAAAAGGCAUGAGGAUCAUCCUGACAAAGGGUUAAGGUGGGCUCAUUGGUUGCCAUGGCAAAAAACUGUUGUGGUUUAGAGUGUUUUAAAUGAGUUUCACACCGUGAACUCACUGUACCUUUGCAUUUAUUUGAGUAAUAAUGAAAAGAUGCAUACUACCAGUAUUACAUAUCAAGUUUUUUUAUUCAUUGAGUAGAAGUACAGUGCUCGCUACUGUCUUGGCAGGUGUUCAGGUCCACCCUGCUCCCAGAAGAAUAGCAGUCCCACUUAGACAUAGUGCAACUCAUUCCCAAACAUUCCUCAAUCACACUGAGUCCUUCAUGGAAAGCUCAGGGUCCACACAGGUAAGACAGAGAUGCCACAGCCUCUUCACAUAGACAUUUAAAACUCUCUAAAUGUUAUUUAAACAAAUGUAUAUGUUCUUAGAAAGUUAUUUGCAUUAUUAACACUUAUUAGUAUCACUUGUAUUGUUUUUAUAAUAUGUCUGCUUUUCAUUACAUUGCUGUGUCAACAUUACAUACAUUCAUUCAAAUUAUCCAUAUUGCUGCAAGUCUUUCUUGUUGGUCUUGUUUGGUCUUGUGUGAUGUUUGUGCCACUGUACUUUUCAGAGCCUGUUUUUACACAAAUCAGUUGGUUCCUUUAGUGUUUUGGGGAUGACAGAUUGUGUUGCAGAUGCAGAUUGCUGUUGACACGUGUCGUCUGAAUGAGCAUCAACAUGAACACGAGGAACACACUGACGGACUUCUGACUUUCUGAGUCUUAUCCCUGAUAAUCAGCUGCUUCUAAACAAUAAUAUUAACACUGUUGUUUGUUUGGUGCAGAGCUAUAGGCCUCACUUACAAAAUGUGUGUAUUUUACCUGAAUUUUCAAAUUAUUUAACAUUUAAUCAAAUAUUGUGUGCAAGACAUAAUGUUAUAUUCUAUUGGAUUAUUUUACAGCUUUUUCCUGAUUACCUUACAUGCAAACAACAACAAACUUUUUGUGACAAAAGCAUUUCACAAAUGGAUUUGAUAUUACCACAUAAAAAAAUCUAAUCAGCCAAAUAUUUUCAAAAAUACAUUUUCCCAUUUAUAUUGCAGCAACACUGAGCGAGUCUUUGACAGAUGAAGAGAGAGGAAAAGGGUGAUGAAGAGGAUUAUGAGGAGGAGUCAGAGGACAGUUAAUAUGCUUACGUUGUGCAUUUGAAUCAACUUUGGCUAUGAGUAUUGAAUUAUAUGAAGUUAUCAGUAUUUUCGUAAUUUACUACUUUAUAUUGUUAUCUUUUACACAAUUUAUGCCACUUUGUUUUUUUCAUAACACUGUGACCCCAUCUUAAUAUAUGUAAAAUAUUGUUUCUACUAUUGUUGUUGUUGUUUUGUUUGUUUUUUUGGACUCAAUGCAAACUGGCCUUCUUUACUAUUAAAUUAAUUUAUAAAUAA